UUGAUCUCUUCCCACCUCUCACCCUCCCCUGCCUUCCCUCUGAGAUUCCACAAUCUGCUGGUAAUCACUUUUAGAAUUUUGCUUUAAAACUUGAAAUUGUUACUCUGACCGGGUAGUUCAGGCGUUUGGUGUCGUCCAUACACCAAAAGUUUUGGGUUUGAUUCCCCUCAGGGCACACAUCUAGGUUUCAGGUUGGGGAAUGUACAGGAAGCAACCAAUCUCUAACGGCUACUCAGGAGCCUCACACAUAACUGUUCCCGCACAGACAGGACCCGGGCCCUGGAAGGUGAAGGGCCCAGCCCUCAGUCCUCAGCCCAUUGGUGGGCAGCCGGGCACCCCCCUCCCCCUGACAUCCAACCACAGGCCUCGAAAGACACAGGCAGGACUCCAGAUCACAACACCCAGCCAGGUUGACACAGUUCUGGUUUUAUCCACAGUCAUACAAUCACAACUUAUAUAUAUAUACAGAUAUAUUUGUAUUUAUAUACCUUUAAAUUACACAGUCAUGUACAAAACAGGUGCAUUGCUGAGACCACAGCACUCCUCGGAGUGUCACAAGUGUCGGACUAAUGAAGUCAGGAGCCGGGUGGCAGACUGGCGGGCAGCCGCGGCCUCCUGCAGAGCCAGGCUGAGACGUGGGCGACUUGGGAUGAAACACAUUACUGGCUGAGCCCAGGGCGGGCGCUGCAGCUACAGGAGCUGGUGGGCACAGUGAGGGGCUGGUGCCCACGCGGAGUUGGGGGCCCCGAUACCAGCACUAAUGGGGGGGCGCGGGGGUCAGGCCCGGGGGCUCAGGGGUCUCUUCCACGUGAGAUGCUCCACUCCGGGCCUGAGGAACCUGGGACCGACCGCUCGGAAGGAAUGGGGCUUUGAGUCCCUGCCGGGGAGUGGGCAGCUGGAGUGCUGAGGGGACAGCAGGGCAGCGCCCCUCCCCAGGUGCGGGGAAGCUGCUGGCACAGAGAGGGGGAGCCCAGGCCCCGAGGUGCAAAGGUGGCAGCUUCCUGACUUCCAGGGGUAGGUGGUGAAGGCAGAGGCCCCCACCAGCUCCUGCCUGGAGCCGCGGAGGGGCUGUGUUCUGGGGCUGGGAGGGCUGAGGGGUCUGAGACACACCUCAGGACGGAACAGAGGCUCAGAGAGCAGUGACAAGAAAGGGGGUGCUGUGGGGGGCUAGUUUGCCUGUCCCUAGGGGUGCUAUUGUCCCCACCGCCUCCCUGGCCCCGAGGGAGGCCUGCCCCAGCUCAGGCCUCUGUGCUCACACGGACAGGGGCAGCUGAGGCUGGAUCUGACCGGACAGGGGCUGUGGGGAGAAGCGAGCGAGGAGCGAAAGGCUGAGGGGUGACAGCGGGGCUGGGGUCUCACUGUCUUCAGCCAGAGGCCCAGGGACGGUGCUGUGGGAGUGGGGGGUCUGCAGUCUGAGGCCCAGAGGGCUCCCCGGUUCCGCAGGCAGUCUCCGGCCUCGCCCCGGCUCUGGGAGACGCCCUAGCCAGGCCCUCCUCUGGGCCUUCCCUGCCCUGGCCUGCUCCCCCAGCAGUGACCUGCUCCCCCAGCACCACUCCUUCACAGCCACAGCCACAGGCCUGCUCCUCACCCCCAACUCCUGGGCUGAGACCCCGGCUCGGAGAGAUGGCGGGGGGGGGGGGGGGGGCGGGCUGUGAGUGUGGGGACAGGACAAGGAGGAGGACUGGGUGACUGCCCCGCUGCUAGGCCAGGCUUCUCCCUCCCGCCACCCCCUGCCUCUUCUGUUGCCUGCAGCCUUUCCCGGAGGCUCCCAGGCUGGAAGCUCCCAGGGGCUGCGGUGUCGCCCCCUGCAGGCCAGAGAAGGGGAGUGGACUGGGGGGCCCCAAGGCUCGGUCUGAAGGCUGGCUGAACCCCGUGAGGCUCUGGUUUUAGAUGAGUGUGCAGGGAGGGAGGGGGGGUGAGAAAGA